GCCUCGUUAGCGCAGUUGGUAGCGCGUCAGUCUCAUAAUCUGAAGGUCGUGAGUUCGACCCUCGCACGAGGCA
rnacentral:tRNA from 1 species